rnacentral:rRNA from 1 species
UACGUAGGGGGCUAGCGUUGUCCGGAUUUAUUGGGCGUAAAGAGCGUGUAGGCGGCCAGGUAGGUCUGCUGUGAAAACUCGAGGCUCAACCUCGAGACGUCGGUGGAAACUGCAAAGCUAGAGUCCGGAAGAGGAGAGUGGAAUUCCUGGUGUAGCGGUGAAAUGCGCAGAUAUCAGGAAGAACACCCGUGGCGAAGGCGGCUCUCUGGGACGGUACUGACGCUGAGACGCGAAAGCGUGGGGAGCGAACAGG